UAACAAGUCCGGUGCUUUAUAAUAUAUUUAAAGGUGGUAAGGACGUGAAGAAAACAGGUUUGUAAAUGAUGUUGUACAUCAUGCAGAUAGCUCAGAAGAAGAAGCAGGAAUGUUUGACUGGAAAUAUAAACGAUGUUGUUCAUAAUGCAGAUAGCUUAGGCGAAAAAGAGAUUGGUGAAAUGGAGAAUGAGACUAACUACGGUG
rnacentral:lncRNA from 1 species